CGAGGCAGAGGUCGAAGUACGGAGGGAGAAAGAGGGGAGCCGACUGUUGUACCGUCCUGGCCUUGUGAGGCUGCGCGCCCAGGAGGACCCUCUCCUCUUCUAAAAAUAAGACUGCGCAGGCGGACGUUACAGAGCGCACUUUCCCUGCCUCCGUGCCCCGGGGGUUUAUUUACUCUUGACUCCAGCAGGGAGGGGCGGCCGCGGCGCUUCCGGGAAACUAGGCGCAGGCGCAGACGCAGGCGCAGGCGCAGACGCACGCCCGGCGGCGGUGGCACAGCGUAGCGUGACUUCCGGGUGGAGACUGAGGACUUGGGUUGGUGAAGACUGCAGGUGGGCGUUCCUGCGCUUGGCGUCUACCGCUUCUGCUUGCGCCCGCUCUUUAAGUCGGGUUCAUCUGGGGUCCUCUUUGGGUUUCUACGCGCGCUGGGCCCGCCGCCUCUCCGCGAGGUACAAAGAAGAGUGUUUGUCAUACAAUUGGAAAGGAAGGCAAAGAAGAUGCUUUUUGCUUUAGAUUGGACAGCUGAACGGAAAUUGCAAUUUUAGGAUGAAGAGGGGAAGAGGAAGAACAAGCCGGAUCAGAAGACAGAAACUCUUCAGAAGUUCCGUAUCAAGAGGAGUGAAUGAGAGCUACAAGCCUGAAUUUAUAGAGUUUAAGAAGUGGCUGAAAGACAGGAAGUUUGAAGAUACAAACUUAAUACCUGCUUGUUUUCCAGGUACAGGAAGAGGGCUGAUGAGCAAAACAUCCCUGCGGGAGGGACAGAUGAUUAUUUCGUUGCCUGAGAGUUGCCUGCUCACCACGGACACAGUGAUUAGAAGCUACUUAGGGACGUACAUUGCUAAGUGCCAGCCUCCUCCAUCUCCUCUUCUGGCUCUGUGCACCUUUUUAGUUUCAGAAAAGCAUGCUGGGGACCAGUCUCUCUGGAAGCCUUACCUGGACAUUUUACCGAAGGCCUACACCUGCCCCGUAUGUUUGGAGCCAAAAGUGGUGAAUCUUUUUCCUGAACCUUUGAAGGCAAAGGCUGAAGAGCAGAGGGCCCGUGUGCAGGGGUUCUUUUCUUCCUCCAGAGACUUUUUCUCUUCCCUGCAGCCUCUGUUUUCUGAGGCUGUUGAGAACAUUUUUAGCUACAGUGCCCUCCUGUGGGCUUGGUGCACGGUCAACACCAGAGCUGUGUACAUGAAGCAUGGGCAGAGGAAAUGCUUUUCUCCAGAGCCGGACACCUACGCGCUCGCCCCGUACUUGGAUCUGCUGAAUCACAGCCCAGAUGUCCAGAUAAAAGCAUCAUUUAAUGAGAAAACUCGCUGUUAUGAAGUCAGAACGGCUUCAGGUUGCAGGAAACAUGAACAGGUGUUCAUCUGCUAUGGCCCUCAUGAUAACCAGCGGCUGCUCCUGGAAUACGGAUUCGUGUCCAUCCAGAAUCCUCAUGCUUGUGUUUAUGUCUCAGCAGAUCUACUUGUUAAAUAUCUGCCAUCAACAGAUAAACAAAUGAACAAGAAGAUUUCCAUUUUGAAGGAUCAUGACUUUAUAGAGUAAGUAUUUUCUCUGUCUCUUAAAAUUAUUUCUUCAGGAAACUGGUAAGAAAAUUGAGGUAGCAUUUCUAGAGAUACAAGAUACCUCCUGACUGUACUAGUUGACACAUAGGUAUUUAUUGAGCAUUUACUAUGUGUAGUAAAUUGUGCUUCAUGUGGGGCACACAAAAAGUUUAAGAUACUUUUCAAGAAACUUACUUGGGGACAUAAGAUACAAACUUGAAGUAUUAUUGUACUAAAAGAAAGCCCUGUUUGUAUGGAUUGGUAGCCCGGUGUUUGUCUCCAAUACGUGGUCAGUGGGAUGGCAUUGGGCUCCUGCAGGCCAGGCUGGCUCUCUGUCAGUCACUCAGUAACAUGGUGUAGGCACUUAGGGUGCAGGACUGGGGGUGCUGGCUGGGUGAUUCCAUGCCAAGUAAAGACUCUCAGAUUUUCUUCUCUAAAUAAAAUGAAAUUUUACAUGGUCCAGGAGCAUUGUGAGGGCACUCUGGCUGUGGUGGCUGCCAUUUGUUUGAUGCCCAGGGAGCUCUGAUUCUUCAUCUUUCAUCUCACUGGGACCUGUGGCACUGGCCCUCUUCCUCUGUCUUCCUCAACCAGAUUUAGCUCCUUACUGAAAUUAGUGGGAAAGUUGUUUUUUAAUCCCCCCCUUCCGCCUUUUUUUAAAUUUAAAGACUUAGA